CCGCCCCUCCGCGCCUGCAGGCCCCGCCCCUUGCUGCCGGGCGCUGGCCUCCCGCUGGGGCGGUCCCGCGCUCCCCGCCUCGCGCGCUGGCUGCUCGUGAGCCCGGGGCUCGCGCUGGGGGUGCUGCUGCCGCGCGCGUGGCGCCCCAAGGAGCAGGGAGGAUGAAAGCAGGCAGGUGCUGGAUGAGUAACCAGCCAACUCUCUCUCCUCUGUGGUUCAGCAGGCAAGGACUUGGAAAGAGAUCUAGCAUGCUGAGGGAUUGUUUGGGGCGAGGCAAGGAAGUUUCCAGGAGCCGCUGUGAGAAGCAGACUGUCUCUUUCUCAGAGCUGAGCGGAAGAAAGAAGGUUGCUUAGUGCUAGAAAGUAGCAGCUGUUUGCAGAAGCAGUGUUAUCAUCAGAGAAGUAACCUCAUGUGAUGAAGUGACCUUGGACUGCCUGCCCAGCAUUCGGUGGUUCAGAAUGAGUGUGUUUCUGAGACACUCCGGGAUCCCUGUAGCACUCGAAUGGAGCAGCCUUAUCCAAAGAUGGGGCAACCAGAACUGCACGCAGUAUUAAAGAUGUGGGCGUACCAUGGAGUUAUAGAGAGGCAACAUGAUAUUUUCUGUCUUGUUAUUGAUCCCUUUCUUAAUGAUUCCCAACAUUCUGUUCACUUUUUGGACUGCUGCUGCACACUGAGCGGAUGUUUUCAGAGAACUAUCCACAAGGACUCCGAGAUCUCUUUCUUCUGUGGUAACAGCUAAUUCAGACCCCAUCAUUGUGUGUGUAGAGUUGGGAUGAUGUUUUCCAAUGGGCCUUACUUCUCACUUAUCAACACUGAAUUUCAUUUGUCAUUUUGUUGCCCACUUGCCCCAGUUUUGUGAGAUUCCCCUCGUAGCUCUUGGCAAUCAGCUUUGGGCUUAACUAUUUUGAGUAGUUUUGUAUCAUCUGCACAUUUUGCCACCUCACUUCAUUCCCUUUUCCAGAUCAUUUAGGAGUAUGUUGAACAGCACACAGGUCCCCGUAAAGAUCCUUAGAAGGCCCACUAUUUACCUCUUUCCACUGUGAAAACUGACCAUUUACUCCUACCUUUUAACCAUUUACUGAUCCAUGAGACGAAAAGUUUGAUUGCUUACUUUGCUUUAAGAGCCUUUGUUGAGGUACUUUGUUAAAGGUUUUCUGAAAGUCCAAGUACACUAUAUCAACUGGAUCCCCCUUGUCCAUAUGCUUAUCGACACCCUCAAAGAAUUCGAAUAGAUUGGUGAGGCAUGAUUUCCCUUUACAAAAGCCACCAUAUCUUCUCAAUAUGGCUGAUAAUUCUGUUCUCGAGUACAGUUUCAACCAGUUUGCCUGGUACUGAACUUACGUUUACCAACCUGUAAUUGCCAGGAUCACAUCUGAAGGCUUUUUUAAAAAUCGGUGUCACAUUAACUACCCUCCAGUCAUCUGGUACAGAGGGUGAUUUAAGCAAUAGGUUACAUACCACAGUUAGGAGUUCUGCAAUUUCAUAUUUGAGUUUUCAAAACUCUUGGAUGAAUACCAUCUGGUCCUGGUGACUUACUACUGUUUAAUUUAUCAAUUUAUUCCAACACUUCCUCUAUUUACACCUCAAUCUGGGACAACAGUUCCUCAGAUUUAUCACCUAAAAAGACUGGUUCAGAUGUGGGAAUCUCCCUCAUAUCCUCUGAAGUGAUGACCGAUGGAAAGGAUUUGUUUACCUUCUCUGCAACAGCCUUGUCUUCCUUGAGUGCUCCCAUGGCCCCAAUAAUUGUUAUCAGGCUUCCUGCUUCUGAUGUACUAUAAAAAUAAAUAAAUAAAUAAAAAUAUUA